GGAGGAGAGCCCAGUGUGCAUGUCAGCAGUGAGGGAGGUCUCCUAACUCACACUGCUGGAGAGAACAAGGAACACUUCUUUAAAGAUGUUUGCCUCAGCUGAGUCCUAAAAGAUGAAAGAGUUAACCAGGAUGGUGAAUUUUCUCAACUUCCUUUAAGCUUAGUAAACAGUCAUCUACCUCCUGCUGUUCUUCAUCUUUGCAGCUACUUCUCAGGGAAAAAAGGGUUUCAGUGAGAUGUAGAAAAUCUAUCAGCCACGUUUAUGAACAAUGACCUGGCAAAUGGAAGAUGCAACCAGGAUACUUCAGGCAACUAUUUUCUAACCUCCCCAUAAAAUUAAUUUAAUUUAAAAAUUGAUUCUUCAGUUAAAAAUAACAAACUACUUUCCUCUUAAACGAGGUAAAGGAGACAACUUCAACCUCUCAAUUGUCUUAUAUUGUUCACAAGUAAGUACUCAGAUGUUCUCUAA